rnacentral:rRNA from 1 species
AGCUCCAGUAGCGUAUAUUAAAGUUGUUGCAGUUAAAAGCUCGUAGUCAGAUUUUAGAUGAUGUGAAUUGGUCUGGCUUUGUUGUCAGUAUUGAUUCGUGUUAUCUCUCUUUCUGGGGAAGCUGUUUGCUCUUUAUUGAGUGGGGCAGGUGUAAGUCCCAGGACUUUUUACUUUGAAAAAAUUAGAGUGUUUAAAGCAAGCAAUCGCUUGAAUACAUUAGCAUGGAAUAAUAGAAUAGGACUUUGGUUCUAUUUUGUUGGUUUCUAGGACCGAAGUAAUGAUUAAUAGGGAUAGUUGGGGGCAUUAGAAUCGACAUGUCAGAGGUGAAAUUCUUGAAUUUUGUCGCGUCUAACUUCUGCGAAAGCAUUUGCCAAGGAUGUUUUCA